rnacentral:rRNA from 1 species
CUGGCGGCGUGCUUAACACAUGCAAGUCGAACGGAAAGGCCCUGCUUUUGUGGGGUGCUCGAGUGGCGAACGGGUGAGUAACACGUGAGUAACCUGCCCUUGACUUUGGGAUAACUUCAGGAAACUGGGGCUAAUACCGGAUAGGAGCUCCUGCUGCAUGGUGGGGGUUGGAAAGUUUCGGCGGUUGGGGAUGGACUCGCGGCUUAUCAGCUUGUUGGUGGGGUAGUGGCUUACCAAGGCUUUGACGGGUAGCCGGCCUGAGAGGGUGACCGGCCACAUUGGGACUGAGAUACGGCCCAGACUCCUACGGGAGGCAGCAGUGGGGAAUAUUGCACAAUGGGCGGAAGCCUGAUGCAGCAACGCCGCGUGCGGGAUGACGGCCUUCGGGUUGUAAACCGCUUUCGCCUGUGACGAAGCGUGAGUGACGGUAAUGGGUAAAGAAGCACCGGCUAACUACGUGCCAGCAGCCGCGGUGAUACGUAGGGUGCGAGCGUUGUCCGGAUUUAUUGGGCGUAAAGGGCUCGUAGGUGGUUGAUCGCGUCGGAAGUGUAAUCUUGGGGCUUAACCCUGAGCGUGCUUUCGAUACGGGUUAACUUGAGGAAGGUAGGGGAGAAUGGAAUUCCUGGUGGAGCGGUGGAAUGCGCAGAUAUCAGGAGGAACACCAGUGGCGAAGGCGGUUCUCUGGGCCUUUCCUGACGCUGAGGAGCGAAAGCGUGGGGAGCGAACAGGCUUAGAUACCCUGGUAGUCCACGCUGUAAACGGUGGGUACUAGGUGUGGGGUCCAUUCCACGGGUUCCGUGCCGUAGCUAACGCUUUAAGUACCCCGCCUGGGGAGUACGGCCGCAAGGCUAAAACUCAAAGGAAUUGACGGGGCCCCGCACAAGCGGCGGAGCAUGCGGAUUAAUUCGAUGCAACGCGUAGAACCUUACCUGGGUUUGACAUGGAUCGGGAGUGCUCAGAGAUGGGUGUGCCUCUUUUGGGGUCGGUUCACAGGUGGUGCAUGGCUGUCGUCAGCUCGUGUCGUGAGAUGUUGGGUUAAGUCCCGCAACGAGCGCAACCCUUGUUCACUGUUGCCAGCACGUUAUGGUGGGGACUCAGUGGAGACCGCCGGGGUCAACUCGGAGGAAGGUGGGGAUGACGUCAAGUCAUCAUGCCCCUUAUGUCCAGGGCUUCACGCAUGCUACAAUGGCUGGUACAGAGAGUGGCGAGCCUGUGAGGGUGAGCGAAUCUCGGAAAGCCGGUCUCAGUUCGGAUUGGGGUCUGCAACUCGACCUCAUGAAGUCGGAGUCGCUAGUAAUCGCAGAUCAGCAACGCUGCGGUGAAUACGUUCCCGGGGCUUGUACACACCGCCCGUCAAGUCAUGAAAGUUGGUAACACCCGAAGCCGGUGGCCUAACCGUUGUGGGGGAGCCGUCGAAGGUGGGACUGGUGAUUAGGACUAAGUCGUAACAAGGUAGCCGUACCGGAAGGUGCGGCUGGAUCACCUCCUUUCUAAGGAG